GGGGUUCUGGCCGAGUGGUUAAGGCGCUGUGUUUAGGUCAUUCAUGGCUCCGCAGUGGGAAACCGCGCAGGUUCGAAUCCUGCGGACCUCA
rnacentral:tRNA from 2 species